GAAUUCCAAAACAACCCAUUUCUAUUUCUGCUAUAUGGGUUUUGUUUCUUUUUAGCUGCUGCUCAAAGCAAACUGCAUUAGCUUUAUUCUUGCUUCUCAUACUAGAUCUGUAUCUUAAGUGCUUAGAGCUAUAUAAUUACCAUUUAUAUGCGUUAUUGGCUUUUUAGAAAGUUUUUCUAUGAUAACUAUGUUGCUUAUUAAAGCUUGAA
rnacentral:misc_RNA from 1 species